UUCCUACGGGAGGCAGCAGUGGGGAAUUUUCCGCAAUGGGCGAAGCCUGACGGAGCAACGCCGCGUGAGGGAUGAAGGCCUCUGGGCUGUAAACCUCUUUUAUCAUGGAAGAAGAUCUGACGGUGCUUGAUGAAUAAGCCACGGCUAAUUCCGUGCCAGCAGCCGCGGUAAUACGGGAGUGGCAAGCGUUAUCCGGAAUUAUUGGGCGUAAAGCGUCCGCAGGCGGCCCUUCAAGUCUGCUGUUAAAAAGUGGAGCUAAACUCCAUCAUGGCAGUGGAAACUGUUGGGCUUGAGUGUGGUAGGGGCAGAGGGAAUUCCCGGUGUAGCGGUGAAAUGCGUAGAUAUCGGGAAGAACACCAGUGGCGAAGGCACUCUGCUGGGCCAUCACUGACGCUCAUGGACGAAAGCCAGGGGAGCGAAAGGGAUUAGAUACCCCUGUAGUCCUGGCCGUAAACGAUGAACACUAGGUGUCGGGGGAAUCGACCCCCUCGGUGUCGUAGCCAACGCGUUAAGUGUUCCGCCUGGGGAGUACGCACGCAAGUGUGAAACUCAAAGGAA
rnacentral:rRNA from 1 species